rnacentral:pre_miRNA from 14 species
GUCUCAGUGUUGAGGGGGUGGUUGUAAAUCCCUUACGAGCCCCCAAAUUAAAGAACCUCAGAGAGAGGAGACUCUCGAUCCAGUCCUGAGGUCUCACCACUCCACAAACACACGGGACUCA